UUGGUCUACGAUCAACAUAGAAUCUAUAAACAAAAACAGAGAAGUUAAUAUUGCAAAUUAUAAAAUUCUGACAAUAUACCGUGCCUGGCUUAUUAGUCCAAAAAGAAAUGAAAGAUGGGUUGGUGUAUACAUACACAAUAUGCCCUGGGUUCCAGAGGAUUGAAUAGGUAUGGAAAUCAGCCGUUGGAUCAAACCAGAGGUAGAAUUGUUGCUCUCUGUUGCC
rnacentral:misc_RNA from 1 species